rnacentral:lncRNA from 1 species
UCCUUUCUUUGUGUAUGUGAUAGUACAUUAUAUGCAUACAUGAACAAAUUCCUUCCCCUACAGAUCAGAAAAUUAAGCCCUUUAAGGCUUCAUCAGCUCAGAGGGAGAUGUAACAGUUGUCUUUGUAGGUGACUUCCGUUCACACUUUGUAUCUAGCCUAGCUGUUUAUUGACUAAAAGUCCCUUGUUUCCAAGGAGGUUAGUACAUGCAUAACCAUGGCUGAUUAUGUCAAGUAGUGCACAUAGAUUUUCAGAUUACUCUUCAUUUCAAAUAGAACCUAUAAGUUGCUGUAAUGUUUAUACUAGUAAGACCCUUCAGAGGGAUCUAGAUAAGCUGGAUUGCUGGGCUGAGGUGAAUGGGAUGAGGUUCAACAAGGCCAAGUGCCGGGUCCUGCACUUUGGCCACAACAACCCCAUGCAGCACUAUAGGCUUGGGAACGAAUGGCUGGAUGAUUGUGAGGAGGAAAGGGACCUGGGGGUGUUGGUUGAUGCUUGGCUGAACAUGAACCCACAGUGUGCCCAGGUGGCCAAGAGGGCCAAUGGCACCCUGGCCUGCAUUAGAAAUAGUGUGGCCAGCAGGAGCAGGGAGGUGAUCAUCCCCCUGUACUCAGCACUGGUGAGGCCUCACCUCGAGUACUGUGUUCAGUUUUGGGCCCCUCACUACAGGAAAGACAUUGAGGCCCUGGAGUGUGUCCAGAGAAGGGCAACAAAACUGGUGAGGGGUCUGGAGCACAAGUCUUAUGAGGAGCAGCUGAGGGAGCUGGGAUUGUUUCCUCUGGAGAAGAGGAGGCUCAGGGGAGACCUCAUUGCACUCUACAACUUCCUGAAGGGAGGUUGUGGUGAAGAGGGGUUUGGCCUCUUCUCCCAGGCAAUGAACAGGACCCGGGGAAAUGGCUGCAAGCUGUACCAGAGGAGGUUUAGGUUAGACUUAAGGAAGAACUUUUUCUCUCAGAGGGUGGUCAGGCACUGGAAUGGCCUGCCCAGGGAGGUGGUAGUCACCAUCCUUGGCAGUGUUCAAGAGGUGUCCAGAUGAGGAGCUACGAGAUAUGGUUUAGUUUGUGGUAGCAGUGGUAAUGAGAAGACGGUUGGACUGGAUGAUCUUAUAGGUAAUUUCCAACCUUGUGAUUCUAUGAUUCUACGAUUCUAAGACUGCAGGGGCUUCUAGUAGAAGAUGUUAGGUCCAAUGAAGGGGGAUGCUCA